UACGUAGGGUGCAAGCGUUGUCCGGAAUUAUUGGGCGUAAAGAGCUCGUAGGCGGUCUGUCGCGUCUGCUGUGAAAACCUAGGGCUUAACUCUGGGCGUGCAGUGGGUACGGGCAGGCUAGAGUGCGGUAGGGGAGACUGGAAUUCCUGGUGUAGCGGUGAAAUGCGCAGAUAUCAGGAGGAACACCGGUGGCGAAGGCAGGGUCCUGGCUGGCACCUGACGCUGAGUGUGCGAAAGCCAGGGGAGGCGAACGGG
rnacentral:rRNA from 1 species